GUAAACCUGCCCCUUCACUCUGGGAUAAACUCCGGGAACCGGGGCGUAAUACCUGGAUAUGACUCCUCCUCGCAUGGGGUGGGAGUGGAAAGCUUUUGUGGUGGAGGAUGGACUCGCGGCCUAUCAGCUUGUUGGUGAGGUAGUGGCUCACCAAGGCGACGACGGGUAGCCGGCCUGAGAGGGCGACCGGCCACACUGGGACUGAGACACGGCCCAGACUCCUACGGGAGGCAGCAGUGGGGAAUAUUGCACAAUGGGCGAAAGCCUGAUGCAGCGACGCCGCGUGAGGGAUGAAGGCCUUCGGGUUGUAAACCUCUUUCAGCUCUGAAGAAGCGAAAGUGACGGUAGGAGCAGAAGAAGCACCGGCUAACUACGUGC
rnacentral:rRNA from 1 species